rnacentral:lncRNA from 1 species
UUUAGUUUUAGCUGAAACUUUCUCAACCUUAAGAACAACUUCCUCAGGACUUGUAUGUGCUCCUUCUCUGUUUGGGACUUUGCGAUCAUAUCAUUGACAUAAACUUCAAUUUCUUUGUGCAUCAUGUCUUGGAACAGGGUUACCAUGGCCCUUUGAUAUGUUACCCCUGCAUUUUUCAGUCCAAACGGCAUCACCUUAUAGAAGAACGUGCCCCACAUGGUUAUAAAUGUGGUCUUCUCCAUGUCUUCAGGAUGCAUCUUGAUCUGGUUAUAUCUGGAGAAACCAUCCAUGAAGGAAAACAGUGAGUAUCCUGCCGUGUUGUCCACUAAGGUGUUGAUAUGAGGCAGUGGGAAAUUAUCUUUUGGGCUGCCUUUAUUCAAAUCUCUGUAGUCUACACACAUUCGUACUUUUCCAUCCUUCUUUGGGACGAGAAUAAUGUUGGCUACCCACUCUGAGUAUUUUACCAGCUUUAAAAAUCCAGCAUCAAACUGCUUCCUAACCUCUUCUUUUAUUUUUAGCAAGAUGCCGGGCCUCAUUCAUCGGAGUUUUUGCUGAACUGGCUUACAUUCUUCCCUUAUGAGGAGUCGGUGCACCACGAUAUCAGUGUUCAACCCGGGCAUAUCUUGGUAUGACCAUCCGAAGACAUCUUUGAAUUUUUGAAGUAAUUCGAUAAGGUCUAGCUUCAUCUCCAUAGUGAUACAAGUUCUGAUCUUCACCUCUUGUCCCUCUCCUAAGUUCACAAUUUAUACUGAUUCUUUGUGAGGUAGGAUUUUUUUCUCGUCUUGUUCUACAAUCCUCAACAAAUUAGGAAAUAGGUUACAGCCUUGGUCAUCUUCGAAAUCCUGAGAAUCCUCAAUACACAUAUCUCGCUCAAAAAGAGAUUCUGAGCUGCUAGCAGUGUCACUCAUAUCAUUGAUAUCUGGGGACCUGUUAUGAGGGUGAAGGAAGAUACAAAGAAUAAAAAGAAUUUAAGAACACUUAUCUGUAUGGUAUGAUUAUGAAUGAAGAAUGAAAGGAUAUUUAGAAGAAUGUUCGAAGAACAAAAGAAUCCGAAAAUAACCGUUUGUAUAAUAUGAUUAUGAAUGAAAUUGAAAGAAUGAAAGAACAUCUGCUCAAAAUGAUAAUAACUGUGCAUUUCAUUGAAAUAACGUUUUUAAACAUAAGCCUAUUUCCUAAAAGAUUCUUAUUACUCCUAGGCCUAGAGAAAUAAGUGUGUUUUGGACAUUACUCUGAGUCAGUUCUAAAAACUACAGGAAUCUCUUCCGCAGUCAAGUUAUCCACAACACUUCCAGGUAUGUAGGGGCAAAUGCUCGACAAAUUUUCUCCUUCAGUCUCUUCUUCGUAUGUGGCAUUAAUGUCCAAGCUUUCCAACCUUUCUUUUAUGACUUCCUUUCUUGUCGUGCCUCUCUCAGAAUGAAUGAUUACUCCGGACACAAAAGUUUUUGAUAUAUGGGGGAAUAUUAUUGGCUCCCAUUUGAUUUCCUCCCCCGUUAACCGUGCUCUCGUUCUUUCUUGAUUCUUUUCCAGCUCUUUUUUCCUUUGUCUCGCAUUCGACUUAAAUCCUAAGCCGAAGUGGUCUCUCUUGUCCUUCAGUACUGGCGUUUCAACCCUUCCUUGAAGAUGUCUCCCAAGUCCUCUUCGGGUAGGGCCCCUUUUCCAACCAUCAACUGUAGACUCAUCCUCGUAGUUUUGGAUAAUUUUGGCAUCAGAAUCUUGCUUCCCUCAGUGAUGAAUGUCACAUUAACAAAUUCCAAAGACCAAAAUGAGCAUUCGAUUGCUUCAUCAUCUGUCUCCAAAUAAGGCGCAUUACUUCUUACAACUGCAAUGAUAUCCUCUUCAGCAUUUAUUGUUAUCAAUCGCCCCUCUGAUACUAACUUCAACUUUUGAUGCAACGAUGAAGGCACUGCCCCAGCUGAAUGUAUCCAGGGUCUCCCCAAUAAGCAGUUGUAUGAGGGCUUGAUAUCCAUCACCAGAAAAUCCACCUCAUAUAUGUUUGGCCCGAUCAGAAGAGGUACCCCGGUUCUACCUAUCACUCUCCUCUCCGUACUAUCGAAUGCUUUCACUAUGUUCUGGCACUCUUUCAUGUGAGAACUGUCUGUGGGUAAUCUAUUUAGUGUAGUCAAUGGUAGGACGUUCAAGGCCGACCCGUUGUCAAUCAGUAUGCCUGGCAGCGUAUAUCCUUUACAGCGCGUGGUGAUGUGUAAAGCUUUAGUCGACCCCCUACCACCGGGUGGUAUCUCAUCGUCAUUGAAGAAAAUAAAGUUAUCAGCACUUAUGUUGCUAACUAAGCGGUCUAGCUUGUUGAUGGAGAUAUCAUUGGAAACAUGUGUUUCAUUCAAGACUUUCAUCAGCGCGCUGCGAUGGACUUCUGAACUUAGGAGUAAGGUCAGCACCGAGAUACGAGCUGGUUGUUUUUGUAGCUGUUCCACCACACUGUACUCGCUGUGCUUUAGGAAUUUUAAAAACUCUUUAGCCUCUUCCUCGUUAACUGGCUCAUUAACAGAAAGUUCAGAUUUGGUCGCCCUUUUCUUCAUCUUUUCGACCACUAGGGCUUUUCCUUUUACGGGUGGUGCCUUUUCGCUUGCUAUAUCAUAACGUCUCUAAGUACGUGUAUAGAAGCCCAUAUCUUGGUCCUCUUUUGAAGUGUCAGCCAGGUUCUCUUUUCCCAGAAUCGUCACGUUACAGUCAUAAUUCCAUGGGACCCUCUUAUUGUCUUUAUAAGGGAAGAUUGCUCGUCUUUGGAUUAUGACUCUUGAUGGCAUUUGCACUCCUGCUUCGUUACUUUUGGGUCGUGAUAUGAUGACCACGGGGUAGUUAAUUGUUUGAUUCUACACCGUCGAUUCUCCCUCUGAUGCAUAUAUAUCUCCCUCUCCGAGGUUUUUAGCUUUUUCAUAAAACUCCAUUUCUUUAUUGUUUAUCAUGUCCUGCACGAGGGCCCUGAACUCCACACACUCUUGGAUUUCAUGCCCCACCUCAUUGUGAAACUCGCAGUAGUUCCUCUCUUCUUUAGAUUCUUUUCUCGAAUCCAAUGCGAUUAACCCUCUCUUGACCGUCUCUUUCCACACCUGUCUCAAUGGGGUCCUAACUUCUGCAACCUCACAUUUGAUCUUCUUGUUCCUUCCUUCGCUUAUCCUGUUCACUUCUUGGUCGGUAUGAUUGGGGAGCAGGUUUCCUGCUACAUUGGGUACGGCUGGGUCAUCAAACCUCACAAUCCCCAUUUUAAUGAGUCACAUUGGGCGUGUUAUUCACAUUGGGUCGAUAUGAUUCCCGCAUGGUAUUCAAAUUGGGCGUUUGUGUCAUACCAUUUGGGAUACGGGGGCUGCAGUGGCUUCAAGUAAAAAGGGGACACUACAUGAGCGUUGAAUAGGUUCUGGUACAGCUCCCUAUACAUCAUGGGUAUAGGGUUGAACUGUGGCCUUUCUGUGUUCUCCCUCGUGUUGGAUUCUUGUCUCACAGUGCUAUGUUGAUUGGUGGUCACCGUCUUUUGUUGAUUUACGGUGAGUGACUUGGACUGACCCUUACUGAAUGUGCUCAUGUUGUUCACUUCAUUAUCUCUUUUCCUCGGGGCUAACUUUCUGGUACUUUCUCCUACUUCUAUUUUACCGCUCCUCACAGCAUUUUCAAUCAUUUCACCCGUCAUCACUAUGUCUGAGAAGAUUUUGGUUGAGCUUCCCAACAUAUGAGUGAUAAAAUGGGCUUUCAAAGUGUUAAUAAAGAGCAUCGUUGUUUCCUUUUCUAAAAGCGGCGGCUGAACUUGUAUGGCAACUUCUCUCCAUCUUUGAGCAUACUGCUUGAAACUUUCAUUUGAUUUCUUCUCCAUAUUCUGGAAAGUGAUCCUGUCGGGGGUCAUGUCCGUCACAUGACUAUACUAUUUCAUAAAGGCCUGAGCCAGGUCAUUCCAUGAGUUAAUUUUAACACAGCUCAACUGGUUAUACCAUUUAGAUGCCGCCCCAACCAGACUGUCCUGAAAACAGUGGAUUAAUAGCUGGUCAUUGUUGACGUAUCCUGUCAUUAGAUUGCAAAACAUAGUGAUGUGAGCUUCAGGGCAGCUCGUUCCAUUGUAUUUCUCAAAUUCAGGUAUUUUGAAUUUGGGGGGAAGGACCAAGUCUGGGAUGAAACUCAAGUCCUUAGCAUUAAUCCUGUGAUGACUAUCGGUGCUUUCCAUAGCUUUGAAUUUUUCCUCCAGCCAUUUACACCGUUCUUCCAAUUGUUUUUGCGGUUCUAUCCUCACCUUUUCUUCUUCUGCAACUUCAUCCAAAUCGGGAACAAGUGGAUAAUUGGGGUUAUUAACAAGGUUAGAGCUUGAGCCGGCUUGGAAAUUCAUCGGUAUCGAAGCUCCGACCUAAAUCUACUGAGGCAUGAUCGUAACAAAUGGUCUUUGUAGAUUAAUCUUGGGCUUCAUUGGUAUAUGUGUCGGAGUGAAGCCAGGGGGUAUUGAGGAUCUUCAUUAGUUUCCUUAACAUUGUCCAUGGGGUCCUUUCCUUUAUCCGUUCUUCCCAUUAGUAACUGGGAUAACUGACUCAUCAUCUCUCUUUAGGAUUCCAUCAUUUGCUCAUUCAUCUCUCAUUGAAUCUUGGCUAGCUGAUCUUGCAUCUGAGACUGCAUUUGUUCCUGCAUGUCCUUUUACAUUUGCUCUAAUUUCUCAAGUCUUUUAUCCAUUAACUUUUUCCUUGUACCAUAGGGCUGCGUAGUUAGUUGGUUUUCGUUGGUUUCCAGAUUACUGAAAUGAUUUUUAAUUAAUUAGAAACCUUUUAUGACUUUAAUGCAUAAUGAUGUGAGGUAAUGCAAAUGCAUGAAUGCAAAGGAGGCAUCAAUUUUGAUUUAAUUCCCUUUAGAAAACUUCACUAGAAAAUAAAAUUCUUUUACAUAAAGCUGAGUUACAAAUAAAACUUCGCUCUAAUGCUUAAAGUCUUAAUUUUCCUAAGUAACGAGGCUAGCUCCUGCCUGCGAUCUGACUCCAACUUUUACUUCAUGCUCAAUGUGUCCGCUUGUACCGUUAAAGCUUGUAAGUAAUCAGCUACCUCCGAAUCUGGGUUAUGGCUUCCCCCAUAAGGUAAUCCCUGUUUCUGACUAGGUCUUGUGCAUGGUCAAGCUACUCCUUCCAACGCUCCUUAUUUGCCUCGAAAAACUGAAUCUGCAUCUCACAGUUUUGUAGUGACGCUUUUAAUUCUUUUAUUUUUCCUUUCAUUUCUUCUAUCUUGCUCAAGCUUGCUCUCAACUCCAUUGCGGUAUUGCGGCUUCGAUACUGAUGAUGAGACUUCUCGAGUUCUACAACUCUAUCCCUUAAUUCACCUCGUUCAUUUUUGCUUUCUAACAGACUCUUCUCUAAAUCUUCAUUUCGUGCCUGAGCUUCUCGAAAUUUCUUUUUCCAUCAGUCAGCUUUGGUCUUUUCCUCACGAAUUUCAUGGCGCCAUUGUUCAGAAGUUUUACCUAACCCCACAGUCCUCAUAAACAGACGUAGCUUCUUAUAAUCAGUCUUCAAGCUAUUUAGAUCUUCUUCGGCCUCAGUUUUCCCUUUUCUCCACUUCUUAGCCUCUGAUCUUUGGACAUCAGCGUCUAAUCUCAGGUGCAUCUUCUCUUCCUCCAAUUGUUCAAUCUUUUUCCCAAGCUCAGAACUCUUCUUCUCAAAGUCUUGCUUUAUAAUUUCCAACACUACCGGGGCGAUUUGUAAUUGUUCCUCCAUAGGUCGAGUAUUUUCCAAGCUUGGCCUAGGAACAUUAUCAUUAACCCUCUUCCUAAACCAUCCAUCAUACUCAGGCGUCACCAUGGAGCCGAUAGCCAACCUUUUUAUCCAGCGAGUUUGCUUCCAAGAAUCCGAUAGCUCCCGAACUUUCUUCUUAUAAUGGGCACCUUUAAAGGAGAAUUCACACUGAGCAAGUCCAUAGGUCGUGGGUACAAACUGCCUCAAUUUAUACCGUCUUAAUGCAAGUAACGAAGUAUAUCCAGCAGCUCCUUAAAUUCCUAACAACGGUACCCAAUCAAAGUUCCCACAUCGGUACAUGAUAUCAUCAUGAACCAUCCAAUAAGACCUCCACUCUAUAUCCCCCUCCUUGAGGUUUUGGAGGAUUUCCAUCCACUUCUCCUCUGAUAUAUCCUCUCUCCUUUGUAUGGCUACCUCCUCUUUUUAACGGGGAAUAACCUUCAGAAAAGACUCGAUAGUAAACCUUGUCUACCUUCCAAAAGUGCUCAUGAAACCACACCAUCAACAAUUGUGCACAUCCAAUAAAUCGCCCCUCACCCAUCCUCCUACACAUGUUCAAGGAUCUGAACGUCUCAGCCAAUAUUGCCAGUACAUGUGUGAUUCAUUUCUCAAGACGAUCGAAUAAGUCAAUGACUUCCUCAUCUACGUGCCUUAAAGCUUUAGGAAAAAUUACCAAUCCAUAGAUGCUUAAGGCAAAGAUAUCAACCCUCUUUCUUUCAUCUGGAUGCGUUAAAACCAAAUCUUGCAAAUUCUCCCAAUGAAUACAUUUACUAUCUCUUUUUUGUUGAAUCCAAGCAGUGACCCAAGGCUCGCUCAUCCCUGAAAUGUUCAUCAAUUUCUUCGCGAAAGUCUGACCAUUAAAAACCCUGGCAUAGGUCUUUCUAACUUGAACUUUUGGACACCUGAGCAGGGUAGUAUAUUCCUCCACGGUAGGUACUAAAUCUACUUCCCCAAAAGUGAAACACUUGUAAGCAGAAUUCCAAAACUGGAUCAUAACUCGGAACAGGUGCUUGUCUACCUUAAUAUCUAGCAAGUAAGAUAUAUCACCAUAGCUUUGAUGGAACAACUGUUUGGUCCCUUCAUCCCAACAAGCCCAUAUAUCUGUCAACUCUUGCAACUCAUUCUGUGCUACAUUGACGCGAGUGAAUUCCUACAACUCUAAUGUAUAUCCUUCUGCCAAGCUAUUCCCUUCCUCCGAUUGUAACUUCUCUGACCAUGCGUGGAUGGCUGCGUUAUCCUCAACUUUAUUAAGAAAUUCAUUCUUUCUAACUUAGUAAUCGAAUACGAAUCAACACCUCCUUUAGUAUGUAAUGUCAUGCAAAACACAAUCAAAACAAAACACAGGUUAGUAUCAAAUAAUAGUGAUAAAAUGCAAGCACAUAAACGAUAAUUACAACACAUAUACGGGUAAAUACUAAGGCUUGAUGCGAAUCCACCAGAGGAUAGCUCCUAAGGUUCGCUAUAUGUGGUUCGGUUCUAGAGAUAAGGUACCUAAACCAGCAGAUUCCUCAAUCCUCACCUAUUAUAGGCUCAUAUAGAUUGAGUUCGGUUCAGGGGGAUACAUUUCCCUAUUGCCAUGCAGAGAUGAAAAUCUCACGAAAUCAUAGGUAAUGUACCCCGGAAGCAAUCCACUUGCUCAUGCGGAGGUGAAGACCUCACGAAAGCAUAGUUUCUUACUCCCACUUAGAAGGUGUGACCACAGUGAUCAUGCAAUGAAAUGCAGUAUGAUUCUAAAAGCCCGAACCAUAACAACCAUACAAACAAAUGCAAUCGAAAGAAACAUGAUUUUUUAAAAUAAAUUUUCUAUUUUUGACAAAAGGACAGUAAAUAAUCAAUUUUAUGGCUUGACUUCUCUUGUCUUGUCCCCAGUGGAGUCGCCAAGCUGUCGAAACCAUCUUUCAAAUUUAAAGAAAAAACGGGGAAUCGACUUUUUGAAAAAUGAAAAUAUGGAGUCGCCACCAAUCUUUUUGUUUAGGUUUGAUCGCAUCACCUAUAAAUUUGGUUAUUUUAAUAAAAUAUUUCUUUUUACUAAAACAACGAUUUUGGUCUUACGAAAAUAUGAGAAAAUGGGUUCGGGAGUCAGUUACGCAUGAAGAAGGAUUAGCACCCUCACUACGCCCAAAAUUGGUACCAAAUCAUUAAAUACUUUUCUUCUGUCUAAGAUUUAGAAAUGUUUUUUUUUUGAAAUGUGGUUCCUUUUAUAAACAUUUGAAUAGCCCAAGUUGGCCGUCAAAAUUCUCUUGUUUCAAAGGAAUACAGCGUUACAUCCAGCACGGUAGGACACGAUCCUUUAUACCCUCGAGAACACGAUAAAUUUCGACUUCCAAAAUUUUGUAUGUUGAAAACUACAAAAGGAUACCCAAUUAUUUAGUCUAACGAAAAAAUCGAGACCCAGCACAGUAAGGCACGAUUCUUCAAAUUUCUAGACAUUCGACAUUGCCUUAUUUUAGAAUUUAGAGAGUAUGAGUGAAAUUCUAAAGGAAUAUUCGAUUAUUUUGAACAAGCAGGAAAUCGCAACCCAGCACGAUAGGGCAAGAUUCCCCGAAUCACCAAAUAUCGAGUAUUACCUUUGUUUUGAAGAGUUUUUGAAGACAUGAGUGAAAUUCCAAAGGAAUAUUCGAUUGUUUUGAAAAAAGGGAAAUCGUAACCCAGCACGAUAGAGCAUGAUUCCCGAAUUGCCAAACAUCUAGUAUUGCCUUCGUUUAGAGAAUUUUUAAAAGAAUAAUUAUGAAAAUAGCUUAAAACGCGUUAAUGCGACUUGAAAUAAAACGAAAUUAAUCUUAAAGAUUUGGACCUUAUAAAACCAAAUUUCAUAAACCAAGUGGAAAAUAAUGAUAUGGGAUAAUAUACUCACAUGAGAUACAAUCAAUUAACAAGCUAAUAAUUAAGUAUAGCUAACCUAAAAAAUAUAACCCGAUUACGAUCAUGCAUGGGAAAUAAUUGAUAUAAUAAUGCAAUGACGAAAAUAAUAACAAUACAACACAACCAAAAUGAUACACUCAAUAAUAUGCCACAAUAAUAUACAUAGCAUGAUAUAAAAUAAUCAAUGCAAGAUGUGAAAAACAAAAUAAAAAAUGUAAUAUGAAACAAGUUUAAAGUAAUGAUAAGCACAUGGUAUAUAUGACGUAUGAGUUGAUGGAUUGAUCAAUUAAAAACCAUUUGUAAAGACAAGCUUACUAUACACAUGCAAUCAUUAAAAUAUGUGUUAUAGAAUGAAUAUUUUUGAACACAUAAUAUAUAAAGUGUAAAGAAAAACAUUUGAUAAAAUACACACAAUAAAAUAAAAUUUGAAUAAUAUAUGUAGUAUGAAAGAAUAGCAAGAAUGCAUGAUAAAAUAUAAUCCUAAGAAAUAUACACAAUAGAUUUACAAAAUAUAUGCUAGAAUUUAAAAUAAUUUACAUGUAUAAAAAAAACCUCAAAUAUAUAAAUGAUUAUUAAAAUAUAUUGUAAAAGAAGAAAUUUGAAUCAAAUAACAUCUAAAAUAUUUUUUAAAUGGAAUAUCAAAGUUGAUCAUAUAUAUAUAAUAAAUAAAGUUAAAAAAAAAAGAAAGCAUAUUAAAUAUGAAAGGUUUGUAAAUAACAAAAGAAAAAGUAUGAUAAAACAUAUUUUAUAUACAUAGGGCUUUUAACUUAUAUACAAAUAGGUUCAAAAGAAAUUAUGUAAGUGAAGUAACAUAGAAUUAAUGAGAUAUAUAGAAUAAAAUCCAAAUUUAUCGUGAACUACAUAUAUUUAGUAGUAUAUAAGAACAUUUGAAAGAUAUAUUAUACAAAAUCUUUAAAACCAUACAAUAUACAAAACUACAAAAUAUCUUGAUAACUCAAAGAUAUAUACACUUAUAUAUAAAAUAAGUAUUAAGUAAAAUAAAAUGAAUAAUAAUAAAAAAAUGAAUUAUACAAAUCAAAAGGACCCAAUUAAAAUAAGAUUAAACUAAAAGGGCAAUUAAUAAAUAAAAUAAGUUAUUGAAAUUAGAAGAAGGAUUAAAGCUUAAUGAGCGCGAAUGGAUAGGGACUACUGGCAAUAUACCAGAUCCUAAAGUGCUGUGUUUAGGCGUGGAUUCAAUUGCAAAUAAGCACAAAUUACAAGUCUAAAUUAAAAAAAUGAAACAAAAAAGUGGGCUGAUUGAGAUGCGGCGCAAAAGGGGAAGGACCUAUAUCGAAAAUAUCCCUCAGUGACCAAAGCGCAGAUCCUAUCCAGGCAUGGGUCGGGUCAUCGGGUCAUAGCUCUUGGAACGGUGUCGUUUUGUAGCCAUUGAGAUUGGCUUAAAACGACAUCGUUUUGUACUUCUCAUAUAAACAAAAAUUAAGAAACCCUAAUCUAACCCUUAGCCAUUUGAAAAGGCAUUCAGCCAAACCAAAGACACUCCCUUUCUCCCUAUCAUUCAGCCAAACCCAAAGACACCCUCCGACUGCUGUCUGACCUUCAUGUUUGGUCGUCGGUUAUCAUACAAAAGGCCUAAUCCAGCCCUGUCCAACCGUGAGUCCAAGGUUUCGCUCAAAAGCCUCAGAAUCCCCACCACAAACUCCGAUUCCGAGGAAGUAAGCGAGGAUUCAAGGGAACUGAAACGGAGGCACUACAGGAAAACAGACUUUUAGUGGCGUUUUUUUUGCCUUUAGCGGCGUUUUUAAGCGCAGCUAAAACUUUAAAGACCAGGACUUAUAGCGGCACUUAUAUAAAAAACGCCGCUAAAGACAAGGACUUAUAGCGGCGCUUUUUUAAAAAACGCCGCUAAAGACCAGGACUUAUAGAGGCGCUUAUAUAAAAAAAAGCCGCGAAAAGUAUUGUUCUUUAGUGGCGUUUUUUAAAAAAGCGCCGCUAAAAGUCUUGUUCUUUAGUGGCGUUUUUUUAAAAAAGCGCCACUAAAAGUCUUGUUCUUUAGUGGCGUUUUUUUAAAAAGUGCCACUAAAAGUCCUAGUCUUUAGCGUCGCUUUUUUAAAACACGCCGCUAAUUUGCCCAGUUUUGCAGUAUGCAUUUUGCACCUAUAUCCAACCCUCCUGCAAGAAAUUCAACCAAAAACAGCAAAUAUACUAUGAAAUCCAACCAAAACCAACAAAUUUAAAUAAUACAAAAUUAUACGAGAAAUAUAUUAUAUAAAUUGUAAAUGAAUAUUCAAAAUAUUCUUACAAUAAUGUUAAAAGUUACAAGAAAACAAAUGUCUAAGAUGGCGGAUUUUGAAAUUGCUGGAAUAUAGUCAUCAUAGACUAAAGCUGUAGCUGGAGUUCACUGUAUUUUCUAUUCUGCUCUGCCUCCCUCGCUGCUGCCUCCGCUCUGAGUUGAGAAAUUUGCUCAUUUGUGCUAGCUUGUAUCUGAACUAUCUGAUCUUUUAGCCUCUGAACUUCAGCUUGACAUUGAGGCAUGUAUUGGUGCGAGGUGGAUCCAAAAUAUUGGGUCGGGUUAACACCAGAUCCUUGAAAUCUAACCCGACCAUACCUUUUAGGACCCAAAACUUCAUUAAUAAUUUUGUUAUCAAUGUCCUCAAAAUUAACAGAACUAUCAGUCGAAGUAGUCGCUUCAUACUAUGCCUUCUUAUCUUUUAGUUUCUCCUAAUAAAUCAGUCAAAGAGUUAGAAACGAAAUAUACAAUAAAAAGGAAUACAACAUAACAUUAUUUAAAAUUAAACUAAUAAAAACGACGAAUUAAAAUAUUAUAAUUAAAUAUUAUAAAUAUUUAUAAUGAAUCAAAUUUUAUUAAUUAAAUAUGCCAUAAUUUCUGCAGCCUCAGAUGUCAUCGGAGUUCCAUCUUUUUUCCUGUGCGUAAUGUCAAAAAGCUGAAGGCGUCCAACUUUUUGACCAAACGAGGCUUCCUACAAUAUAGUAGUAAAAAUACUAUUUAAUAGUAAAAAGUCAUUAAUACUUGAUAGAAUUAGUAAAUCCAUAGUACCGCGGCCUGAGCUACACAAGUAAAACUUCUCGACCCUGCCGUGUGCGUAAAAUUUUGUUUUUGCCUGCUGCUUGUUCCAACUCGCUCACGGUCCUACAUAAUGAAAUUAUUAUUACGUAUAUAGUAAAUACUAUAAACUGAAAAAUUUAUAAGAGUUUGCAAGUACAUAAUACCUCUCCUUUCUUCAAAUUCCAAAAUCGAACCGCAUCUUCCCAUUGGUACCUCAGCAUUCCCGGUGGGACAUUUUGCAAUUUUUCUUCGAGGCUUAUGAGUUUUUUAAAAUAUUCUUUUUUUCAAACUGAUUUUAUGGUCUCUCCAUUUUUUACCCAAUGCCUUCUUGAUAUAGGCAUCAGAGACCUCUAAAGCAAACCGCUCCUAAAAAACACAAGUUUAGGAAUUAAAUAUAAAUGAAACUUAAACCAAAGUAUUAUAAAUUACAUUAACGUUUUGUUACCUUAAUAUUAGAGAGAGCUUGAUUUUUAUUGCUAUCAGGCAUGUUAUGCCAUGAUUCGUAGUUGAUGGGCAACAUAUUGGCAUUUCGUGCUAUAAUGCCCAAACAGCCUGCUAAAAGUCGAGCUUCUUGUCCAACAGGCUGACAAUGGCUGUUUCUAGUUACUUUGACACGCUCGACAGAAUUUAAGUUAUAUAAAUCUGUUAGGAGCGUACGUCCUCGACCUCUGCAUGUCCCACCAUUUUCAGCUGAAAAAUAAUAUAUUAUUACUAUAUUGAAAUUUAAAAAUAAAUCAGUAAUAAAAUUUAAUACAAUUUGUAAAAUAAACUUAACAUUACUUUGAAAUUCCACAGACUCGUCAAGUGUCUCCGGCACGCUUGAAGAUCCAACAACUGUCUGCUGUUCAGUACUUACUUCUUUCGAAUUUGUAGUAUUCUGUACAAUAAUAAGAUCUCUUAAUCUUCUUCUAGGCAUUUUUCCUGCAACACAUAAAAUAGUUAAAAUUUUAGUAAGAAAUAACAACAAUAGUAAAUAUAAAAUAGUUAAAUUAUAUAACAUGACCAAUGUUAAAAUUAUAACAUUACAUAUAAAAAAAUCAUAAAAUCUUACUACAUCAUAAAUCGUAAAUAUCUUCGUCCACAUCCUAACGAACCUAUUGAAAUUGUGUACUAGUACUAGGGAUAUUUUCAUUUAAGUUUUGUUCUGGAAAAGGAAAAGUUUCUGAUCUUUCAACGAUGUCAUCUCUACUUCCAUUCCCCAUGUCAAACAAAUCUCUAGGGGUGUUUCGGAGUACAACGUACCAACCCUCAUCAAUUGGAUCUUUCGAUUAAAAAACUUGUUUAACUUGAGAAGAAAAUACAUACGGCUCGUCUAUCAAAUGUUCUCCAGUGUGAAUUAAUCGAGAGAAAUUCACCAUUGUAAAACCAAACUGAUCAUUUUUAAUUCCGCGAGUAGUAUUAGCAUCAGCCCAAUCACAUCGAAAUAAGACAACUUUCCAUUUUCCAUAGUAAUCCAACUCAAUAAUGUCGGUUAGAAGUCCGUAAUACUCCACAUUUCCCUCGACAGGAUUACUGUCCCUAGCACUAGCGUAACUUGUAAUUAAAGAAUUAACAACUACUCCACAAUUUUGAGUUCUCCUCAAUCUCUCGCGAUAUUUGGUUUGAAAUCUGAAUCCAUUCAUGAUGAAGCCACUAUAUCUUUUUACUACUCGAUUCGGACCUUGGGAAAGCCAUUUAACUUCGUCAUUAACGACAUUCCCACUUCAAACCUAUUGAAUCAAAAGUAAAUUGAGUAAUUGUAAAUGUUAUGAGAAAACAAUAUUAUUUGUCAAUAAAAUGUUGAGUUGCAUACCGUUUGGCUUAACAAUUCAUGGAAAGAUUCUGCGAAUAACCUAUUAAUCUCGCGAUGUUGUAAUAUUCGUGAGCGUGAACGAGAUCUUAAGACUUGUUUGUACUCACAAUGUUAAAAACAUGUUUAAUUCGUUAAAAAAUAAACAAAUCAAAAAAAGAUGAAUAUUUAUCAUAUUCUAGAACUUAUUUGCGUAAUUGUUCAAGUGCAUCGUGGUGGAAAAGAACAUAUCUAUGUGCUUGUAUCCAAGAUCGGUCAUCUAAUUCUGCAAUUUCAACUUUGCCGAUUGGUUCUCCAUAACUUUGAAAUAAAUAAGUUUCGGCCAAGCUAGGAUCAUUGAGUCCGGCAUUUCUACUUGGUCUAUUCAAUCUUGUUUCAACAUCUUCUAAAUAUCUAGAACAGAAUGUCAUACAUUCCUCUGCCAAGUAGCCUUCAGCAAUUGAUCCUUCCGGAUAACGCUUGUUACGGCAAUAAGACUUCAAUUUGCUUAAGAACCUAAACACCAUAUACAACAUUAUCAAAACUUAUAACUAUAGGUAUAAAGGUGAAUGCCUUUGAAAUAAAUUAGCACCUUUCAAUUGGAUACAUCCAACGAUAGAAAAUCAGCCCACCAAUUAUUGCUUCACGAGGGAGAUGAAUGACAAGGUAAACCAUAAUUGUGAAGAAGGAAGGUGGAAAGAUCUUCUCCAAAUUGCAUAAUGUCAAAGCGGCUCGAUCUUGUACUUUUUCAAGUUCUUCAACAUUCAGAACUUUGCCACAAAUUGCUUUCAUUAUAUUGGACAGUUCAAUUAUAAGGACGUUACCUUCUUUGACAUACAGCAUCGUAAAGCAACUGGAAGUAGAUCUUGCAUCAAGAUGUGAUAGUUAUGUGAUUUUAAUGAAUAUAGUCUUCGAUCUUUAAGACUUACACAUCGAGAUAUAUUUGAUGCAUACGCAUCCGGAACCUUUAUAUCCUUCAACAUCAUGCAGAACAUUUCUUUCUCUUCCUUUGACAUUGCAAAAAUUGUAGGCGGCAACCAAUAUUUUCCAUUAGGACGUACUUGGUGAUGAAGAUCACGUCUAAUUCCCAUGUGAACUAAAUCAAGUCGACUCUGAAGAUUAUCUUUUGAUUUACCAUCGACGUUCAAAAUUGUCUAGAUGAUGUUCUCGCAGACAUUCUUUUCAAUAAUAUGCAUCACAUCAAGAUUGUGGCGUAAUAUGUGAUGCUUCCAAUAAGGCAACUUAAAAAAAAUACUUCUUUUCUUCCACAAGUCCGCCUCAUUAGGGUCAUCCUCCUCGUCAGAUUCAUCAUCAGAUUCAUCCCUCGAUCGUUUAUUUGUUUGCCUGUUAGAUGGUUGAUUCAGCUUCCCGUAACUGAAAUCCAUAUCUUUUAACUUGAAUAAGAUUUCAGAUCCAAUGGUCUGCUCAGGAGCUUUUUUCAACUCUUCAGUACCGUCAAAUAAAGCCCUCUAAAAUCUAUAGCUAUGAUUUUCAUCUAACCACCGACGAUGCCCUAUAUAGCAGAACUUCUUCCCAUUAUAUAACACUGUGAACACGUUUGAGUAGCACAACAAGGACAAGCAUAACGUCCACUGGUACUCCAACCAGAUAAAUUCUCAUAUGCCGGGAAAUCAUUAAUUGUCCACAGCAAAGCAGCACGUAGGUAAAAGUUCUCCUUUCUCAAUACAUCAUACGUCUCAAUACCUGCCCAUAAUUGUUUUAACUCUUCAAUAAGUGGCUGCAGAUAUAUGUCAAUAUCAUUUCUGAGGCCUUUCUCUCCAGGGAUAAUCAUAGAUAAUACCAAAGAAGAUUGCUUCAUGCAGAGCCAUGGAGGCAAAUUAUGAGGAAUAAGGACCACAGGCCAAGUACUGUACGAGGUGCUCAUGAUUUUAAAUAGAUUAAAUCCGUCAGAUGGUAACCCGAGCCUUACACUCCGAGGAUCACUUACAAAGCUUUGAAAUUUAUUGUCAAAUGAUUUCCAUGCUAAAGAAUCUACAGGAUGCCUUAAUAAUCCAUCAUCCGUUCGUUGAUCAUGAUGCCACAUUAUAAACUCGAUUGUCUUUGACGACAUGAAUAGCCUUUGAAGCCUUGGGAUUAGCGAGAAAUAUCGCAAAAUCUUGUUCAGCUUUCUUAUUGAUUGUGGCCCAUAUCCAUCCUCAUUAACAUCUUUUGUAUCUCUAUUCAUCCAACGAGAUUUACUGCAAACAUGACAAGACUGUUGAUUUCUCCGAUCACCCCAAUACAACAUGCAAUCAUUUGGGCAACUAUGAAUUUUUUUGUACCCAAGGCCCAAAUCUUUUAUCACUUUCUUCAUGUCUUUACAUGAUUGAGAGAUUUUUGAAAAUGGGAAAAUUUCUCUCAAAAGCUCUAACAGCAUUGUCAAAGAGUUUCCGGUCCACCCUUCCAAACAUUUUAAGUGGAAAAGGCGAAUACAGAAUGACAUUUUCAAAAAUUUUGAUCCCUCAUAAAGUUCUUCAUUCAUUUCACCAAGUAACGUGUAGAACUUCGCCGCUUCUUCAUUCGGUUGUUCAUCUGGUACACUUCUUCUCGUUUCCAUAAAAGUAUUCCCACCGAUAUUAUAAUCAUCAGAUGCAACAUAGUUUGGUGGAAAUGACUGGAAACCUUCACUCUGCAUAUUAAAUGCAUCCCGCAUCAUACCUUCCAUGUCAUCUUCUCUAACAUACUGACGGUAGCCACUAUAAGGAUAACCCGGAUUAAUCGUCGAAGAGGCUCCACUAGGUGUACACUCUCCAUGGAAAAUCCAUUUUUUAUACCCCCGAAUGAAGCCAUCAAUAAUUAGAUGUUCGUAGACAACUUCACGAUAAUGCCAAUAGAUAUUGCCACACUUCUUACACGGGCAAAGAAUCAUAUUCUCUUGGCUUGAAUUGUGAAAUGCAAAAUCUAAAAAAGAUUGCACUCCAUUUUGAUACUCGUUGCUUGCCCUUGAGAAAUUCAUCCAAGUCCUAUCCAUUUCGUAGUUGUUGAAGUCUAAAGUUGGCAAUAAGUUACACGGGUAAGUUGUUUAUUAUGUAAGUCUUGAUAUGAUACAUUAUUAUGUUUUAUGUAAGUUAUGUAGAUUAUGUAAGUUAUGAAAUUUGAACUUUAAACUAUAUGCUUUUAAGGAAAUUAUUAUAUUAAACUACAUGUAUUAGUUAAGUUAUGUAAGUUGUUAUGUACGUUAUGUGAGUUAUGUAAAUUAUGUGAGAGAAGGUUGGAGAGAAGGUCAGCUAUUGUUGUAAUUUUAAUGAAUAAGCAAGCUACAUGGUAAUAAAUAUUCAAUAGUAAAUGAGAUCGAUAGAACUUUUUUAAAGUCUUUUUGAAUUUUUUAAGAUUCAUCACACGUGGGGUUGUUACACCUAGGGAGGAUCCAUUAUAUCUUACAGCUCGAUAUAAGGCAACCUGUCAGGUUUCCAGCCUAUAUACUUUGAAUCUUUAAAAUAUUUAAAAUAAGGUUGGAGAGAAGGUCAGCUAUUGUUGUAAAUUUAAUGAACAAGCAAGCUACAUGAUAAUAAAAAUUUAGCAACGAAACCUGUACCUAGAACAGAUGUCAAUGGCUGUGGUGUAUUUAGUUGCACCAAAUAUUAAUUCAGGUGCUCGAUAGUACCUAGAACAGAUGUAAGAUUAUAAGAGUAGCACCAAAUAUAUUUCAGUUUAAGCAAAUAUAAAAACUUUAUCUAUAUCAGUACCAAAUAUUAAUUCGAAGAUUAAAUGGCAGCUUCAAUUGAACCAAUAGUUGCAGGAGGAGCAGGAAGCAGUAACUGAAAUACAUACAACAUUAAUUCACUAAUACAGACACAUGUAAGAUUAUAAGAGUAGCACCAAAUAUAUUUCAGUUUAAGCAAAUAUAAAAACUUUAUUUAUAUCAGUACCAAAUAUUAAUUCGAAGAUUAAAUGGCAGCUUCAGUUGAACCAAUAGUUGCAGGAGGAGUAGGAAGCAGUAACUGAUGCUGAAUCUGGUCCAAACAGAAAGUUUUUUUUUUAGUGAAGCAUCAAUCAAAAGAAAAAUAUGAUAUGCCUUAACAAUUAACGUAAUUAUAUUUAAUAUUAAAUACCUUUUAAUUAAAUAUUUUUAAUUUAAAAAUAAUGGAUAAUCUUCAAAUUUUGAAAAAGUUUAUUUUAAUUCAAAAUUAAAAUUUCAUCAAUAGUAUUUGAAUUGAAUUGGAUUAGUCGAAAUGGGAAUAAGUUAAAGUAUUGGUUCAGAAAAGGGUAUAGAAUCAAUUGAACCAUAAAUUGGUAGGUAGAACUAAUUAAAAAACCGAUUGAACAAUAUUUUUAUUUUUGAUUUUUUAAUAUGAUCGACAAAUCGGUAGCUUGACCGGUUCGACCAUCGAUCCAAUUAUAAAAAAAAACAUCUCUUUUUUUUAUAAAGUAAUAAACUUUCAAAUUAUUUUAUAAAAUAAAUGUAAGGGGCUAAUUAAAUACAAAUGAAUGCAUAACAAUUUUCAAAAAUAUUAUAUUGUUAAAGUAAAAUUAAUAAAAUAACGUAAAACUUUGAUUAAUUAUUUAUCAGUUUUUAUUUUGAGUUUAUUUAUUUAUUUUUAAAUUGUUUUAAGGAAAUUAAUCUAAAAAAUUGUUUUAAAACUAAUUUUCAAAAAUAUUUAAUGUAUUAUUAAAAAAAUUUAAAGAAAUUUUCUAUGGCAGCUUAAAAAAUAUAAAAUAUAUAAAUGAAAAGAGACAUGUAUUUUUUAAUUUAUUUAUCUUCUAACACUAUUUAUAUUUUAAAAUUAUUGCAUGAUUAAAAUGAAAAUUGCAAAAAAUGAAACAAAGACUUGAAAGAAAACUGUAAAAAAACAUAUGUAGCAUAUUUUCCUAUGCGGGGCAGGAAUCCAAGGGGUUUUCAUUCCCAUAUAUUGGCUUGUGAAAAUAUAUCUCUUCACUUUUGCUUCAAAUAAAAAAAUGAAUUAAUUAAUAAAUUAAUUCAAGUUGAAGAAAAAUAAAAAUGAAUCACGAAAAAAGUAAUCCUAUAAACCGUAAAACAAAAAUGAGCAAACUUAUUAAUUUUAAAAAAUAUAUGAUUGUCUGACAGAGCUUGGGCAAAUUUGAUAGUAGAGAACAUGGAGCAACCUCAACAGCAAUUGCUUCUAAGGAAGGUGUGGUUAUAACAACUAGUGCACAAUCAUGUAUCUAGGGGUUUAGAAAAUGAUAAGUCUUUCCAUCACCUCGUUCUCCCACACACUAUGUUACUUUCGUUUCUAUCCAAAACACCAAACAUACUUCUCAACUAGGAUCAAGCAUCUAUUAAUUAGGAUUUCUAGAAAACCAAUAGUCUCUUCUCUUCUCUUCUAUCCUAUGCUACCGUCUUCAUCCUCCCACCUAUAAUUUUACUCUGAUUAUUCUACACACCAAAAUACACUGAUCUAGUUAAGUGCUUAACUGUUUGGACACUACAGUUGAAUUCACCGGAGUGGUGCAGAAACAUACUGUUGGUUGAAGCAUUAAGUAAAAGAAUCAACAUUAGCCAAGCAGAUUCAUCAAAACAAUAAGAAGUAUGACAGUCUAGAGUAAUACGAAAAUGACCCACAACUGUUUUUAAAAGCAAAAUAAGAAAAGCUUACCCUAUGAACAUGAAGAUUCCAUUACAUGCUUGUUCAUGGAAGGAGUUGCUCAAAUGGCUUCCAAAGCUUUUCAACUUAUAUAUCUGCAGUUUUCAAAAGUUAUAAAGAGGAUAAGAAACUUUAAUGGAGUUUGCAAAAAAGGAGAUUUAGGGAUUCAAGUCAAAUGUAUGUUAGCUCGACAAUGAAUCUUAACCGUGUAUGCUGAUUCUUUUGGGGAAAUUUAGGGAUUAGAAGAAAUUAGAGAAUUGGGGAAAUCUAUUUUGGGUUGGGGGAAUGGGUGUCGGGCAUGAGAAAGAAGCAAACAUUUCAAGGAAAAC